UACGGGGGGAGCUAGCGUUGUUCGGAAUUACUGGGCGUAAAGCGCACGUAGGCGGCUUUGUAAGGUAGAGGUGAAAGCCUGGAGCUCAACUCCAGAAUUGCCUUUAAGACUGCAUCGCUCGAAUCCAGGAGAGGUGAGUGGAAUUCCGAGUGUAGAGGUGAAAUUCGUAGAUAUUCGGAAGAACACCAGUGGCGAAGGCGGCUCACUGGACUGGUAUUGACGCUGAGGUGCGAAAGCGUGGGGAGCAAACAGG
rnacentral:rRNA from 1 species